UUAGUCACCACAUUACUCAGAAAUUUCUCUACCACUCAUUUACUAAAAUUUAUCUAUAGAUUGAUGAUCAAAUCUACACAAAAUCUCAUCCAAAAAGACUCAAUAGAUACCAGCAAAAUAUGGGUGGAAAAGUAAUUUCUUUGCUAAACAUUUUGGUCGUGUUAGUUCUAAUCAUGUCCCCCCAAGUAGCUUUUGCAAGAGAACUUGCGGAGACUACCAACAUCAAAAUCGAGACGAACGCCGUUAAACCAAUCCGGGGGGGCGCCAUUAAACCAAUCGGGGGCCCAAAUUACAAUCGCCGCAACCGCAAGCGCGAAUGUGGUUACAAGAAUUUGUGUCACGGAGGAGGACCACCUCCCGCCCAGACCAAACCUUGAGAAUCCAAGCCCUAACACCCAAUGUUUGAAGAGUUGAAGUACAAUACUAUUAAAUAAUUUCAAAUAAAAUAAUCCAAACUGUAGUAUGGUGUUUAUGAUUAUGUCGAUACAUGUCAUUCUAAUUUUGUUUGAGUUAAAGCAAUAUUGUGGUCCUUGUUUAAGGGUUUCUGAGUUAUAUGAGUAUGUUUUAGGAUUA